UACAGAGGUCCCAAGCGUUGUUCGGAUUCACUGGGCGUAAAGGGUGCGUAGGCGGUCGGGUAAGUCUGAUGUGAAAUCUCGGAGCUCAACUCCGAAACGGCAUUGGAUACUAUCUGGCUGGAGGUUGGGAGGGGGGACUGGAAUUCUCGGUGUAGCAGUGAAAUGCGUAGAUAUCGAGAGGAACACCAGUGGCGAAGGCGAGUCCCUGGACCAAUCCUGACGCUGAGGCACGAAAGCCAGGGGAGCAAACGGG
rnacentral:rRNA from 1 species